UUUGACCAGAUUUCUUUUUUCGCAGGUCUGCCAUUCAGGGCCAACAUGGAGCUCUGUGGUGGGUACAAGUCAACAUAUAUAGGCAUUGUUCAAAUUUGCCGAUUAAUUUAUUCACCAUCAGGGGAGUUCCUGCUCCGCUCACAAGGGCCUGUCGUUGCUGUGGGAGCCUCUGACCGCACCAUCCCUGUUCUUUUUCUUCUUCUACUACCUACUGCUGCCGUUGCUUGGUCUCUCAAGGGCACCUACUGCUGACAGAAGGCGAAAGGGCUGGUAUGAUAAAGAGACCACUCUUCUGGUUCUUAUAGGUUGCUCUCUAAUGGAAG